GAUGAACGCUGGCGGCGUGCCUAAUACAUGCAAGUCGAGCGAACAGACGAGGAGCUUUCUCCUCUGACGUUAGCGGCGGACGGGUGAGUAACACGUGGAUAACCUACCUAUAAGACUGGGAUAACUUCGGGAAACCGGAUCUAAUACCGGAUAAUAUAUUGAACCGCAUGGUUCAAUAGUGAAAGACGGUUUUGCUGUCACUUAUAGAUGUAUCCGCGCCGCAUUAGCUAGUUGGUAAGGUAACGGCUUACCAAGGCAACGAUGCGUAGCCGACCUGAGAGGGUGAUCGGCCACACUGGAACUGAGACACGGUCCAGACUCCUACGGGAGGCAGCAGUAGGGAAUAUUCCGCAAUGGGCGAAAGCUUGACGGAGCAACGCCGCGUGAGUGAUGAAGGUCUUCGGAUCGUAAAACUCUGUUAUUAGGGAAGAACAAAUGUGUAAGUAAAUAUGCACGUCUUGACGGUACCUAAUCAGAAAGCAACGGCUAACUACGUG
rnacentral:rRNA from 1 species